GUGCUGGUAGUUCAAUGGCAGAACGCCGCUCUGAUAAGGCGGUAACGGAGGUUCGAACCCUCCCCGGCGCA
rnacentral:tRNA from 1 species